rnacentral:rRNA from 1 species
AGUUUGAUCCUGGCUCAGAACGAACGCUGGCGGCAGGCUUAACACAUGCAAGUCGAACGCCCCGCAAGGGGAGUGGCAGACGGGUGAGUAACGCGUGGGAAUCUACCGUGCCCUGCGGAAUAGCUCCGGGAAACUGGAAUUAAUACCGCAUACGCCCUACGGGGGAAAGAUUUAUCGGGGAUGGAUGAGCCCGCGUUGGAUUAGCUAGUUGGUGGGGUAAAGGCCUACCAAGGCGACGAUCCAUAGCUGGUCUGAGAGGGUGACCGGCCACACUGGGACUGAGACACGGCCCAGACUCCUACGGGAGGCAGCAGUGGGGAAUAUUGCACAAUGGGCGAAAGCCUGAUGCAGCAACGCCGCGUGAGGGACGACGGCCUUCGGGUUGUAAACCUCUUUUAGCAGGGAAGAAGCGAAAGUGACGGUACCUGCAGAAAAAGCACCGGCUAACUACGUGCCAGCAGCCGCGGUAA